GCCCCCGGCUCAGCUAAGGAGUGUCAAGGGUCCUCUCCUCCAGAGUGCACGCGCCAGGAGCCUGGAGACGAGUCGCGCGGCAGGGCGAGUGGGAGGGAAGCUGCCAAUCGUUUGCUCCCUCCGAAGACACAGUCGUGUCGCCCCUGAAUAGACCCGGUUCUUCUUCCCUCUCAUCCCUGCGCUCACCGUGGGAUGGUACACCCUCACCACGGAUGACUGCAAGGACGGCCAAAGGAUGAGGAGGCAGACCGAGAGUGGAAGGCUCCCUACGCCUCAUCUCUCGCUUAAAUGUGGUGCUUUCAUGCCCACGUCCCCCUGCGCUGUCCCUGCCUGCACACCCUCUACAUUUGGACCACGUUGAAGCCCACCGUCCCGCUGGUCGAUUUUUAACCACUGGACCACCAGGGAAGUUUCCUGGCUUGCAAGAGUCUUCAUAAGAAAUUUGCAGAGUUAAAUCUCCUUUGGAGAUCACACAUCUGGUGACACUGUUCACUGAACACCGUAAACUAUCAUCUUGGGGUCACAUCCGGAAUCGUCAAGACAAGGUAAGAAUGUUCAGAGCUGGGACUCCUUUGUUCUUUUACUGUAAAGUCUCCACUUUACUAACUCAGAAGCAUAUGGACUGAGCUGCUUCUCCUGGUCUCUCUGACCAUUUCAUAACUGCUUGGGGAAUUAAAGCUACUAACCUAAUGUGCUGGUUUGUACACUUUCAGGGGACUUGCAGUCUAUGCUGUUCUUGUGUUUUUCUAACCAGACCCCAUUCCAAGUUUUACAGGACACUGCAGGUAGGAACACAUGAGGGAGCUAGCUGGACCUCUAGCUGCAGAGACAGCUCCCAGACUGGAAAUCACCAUACUGACCCAGAGACCCAGAGGCAAGUUCUUGUCAUGGCUAUGCCUCUGGACUGUGUGGUGGAGACAUUGAUGGUGAGCAUGAGAUUCCUGAGGACACAGAUUGGGGAACCCCAGAUUUGGGCAGACUGGAAACACAACAGGCUUCUUCCCCUGGUAGUGCCAGCUCUUAGUGGGCCAGAGAAAGCCCUCUGGUGCCUCUUGUUUCAAUUCCUUAGAUGGUUUUUUUGUACACUCUGCUGGACAGGAAUAGAAGGUUGACUUUGACACUCCAUGAACAUGAAAGAUUAAUUUUUCCUCACAGGUCAGCCCUCCAUAACCUCCUUUGUUAUUGCAUAGACUCAUGUGGCAACUUUCAGAAGGGACCUCUUGGGUUUUCUGUUCAUCCGUUUAUGACUUAUCACUUCUACUGUGGUCAGGAAUAUGUUCAAGAAUGUGUACCGGCACACAAAAGACGGAUGUUUCCUCUAGCCGUCUUAGCUUGGGAGACAUUCCGGAAGGCUACUCCGCCCCACCCACAUGGCACCAGAGAAAAAGGGGAAAUCAAGCCAAGGUUUUAAUGGUGAGGAACUGGACAUCAAUCUGGGAUGCCAUCAGGUCUACCCCUGGUGCGUCUCCACCCCACCUCAGUGGUAGAACUGGGAGGGAUGAUAGUGGACACCGGCAUCAGUAAGACAGGUUAGGGGAGGAAGCUUAGGUGGGAGACCUGUCUCCACCCCCAUCUAGAGCAGGGAGGGGUGCCUCCAGUAGAAAAAAGCCAUGGCACUGGGUGCGGCUCUUUCUGUGUUACAGAUGGGAGCUAGCAGUUCCAGAACCACCCUCUUUGAACUGUAUCUUGAAAAGAUGGAAUAAGUUUGAUCCUCAGACCCUAAAAAGUCCCUUAUAUACAGGCUUUCUUUGAUUUAAGAGAAGACUUCACCUCCCUAGAGACAAUCCCUGCUGGGACAUCUUAUCAGUCGGUCCCCACCCCUGUCAUCAGAGCCAGUUUGAACAAUCUUUGGUUUAAUUUUAGCUAUGAAACUAUGACUACAAAAAGGAGAGAUGACAUUUUUGACACUGAAUGGCCAUGAUAUUCUUUAGACUCUAGAGAAAACUGGUUAAAAUGAAAUCUUUUUGAAAUCACAAAACUGGUUCUUUUUGCACUUGCAAUUAGGAAAAAGUUGGCUUAUUAAAAUACUUUUAUUGGAGCUCCAACCCUGCU